GCAUGUAAGGGGGGAUAGCAUGUUUGUCAUCGCUCACUCUUGGUCACCACAAUAUUCAGCUUACCUGUCUGUGUAGGCUUCUCUUUCUUCAUUGCUGCAUAUGCAACUCCCCCAAACGGGAAGAGAAUGGCCUUCCCCAAUAGUGGAGAGUCUUUUCCAGGGUGUAAAUGUGUGUGUGUGUGUGUGUGUGUGUGUGUGUGUCUGUGCAGCUGCAUUCUCCUGCUGGAAAGUCUUGUCAGGCUUUCAGGAGAGGAGACUGUAGGGCAGUCAAGCUUCUAAAACUGUGGGCCCAUCCAAAUAAGAUCCUUCAUGUGGUGGUGGUCAGCCCUUGUUU
rnacentral:snRNA from 1 species